AUUUCUUGAUUUAUUUUUUUUUCGUUCACUUAAUAAUCCAGCAUUUCAUAACGAACAACGAGCGUUGGUGGUGGUGUUGUUUGGAUAGCCAAUAGAGAAGUUGUUUGUCAUUGUUGCCGAAAUUGGUGCUAAAUAAAAACAAAACCUUUUUGUUUUCUUGUUGAGAAUUAUUCCGUAAUUUUUUGAUUGGCUGACCAAAAUUAACGCAAAUCGAUCACAAAUUUUUCAAAUAUAUAUUUUUCAAUUCAUUCGUUCUGUUCAUCGUUAUUGUAUUUUUUUUUACCGAAAAACCAUAUUAUGUCGAGUUUGAUGAGUGGUGAGAACCACAAAUUGAAACAAUUAUCAUCAACUAAUAAUUCUUCUUCUGU